AGGGGAUGCCUGUAGCUCCGUGGUUUGAGCAUCUGUUUUGCAUGCAGAAGGUCACAGGUUCAAUCCCCGGAGCCUCUU